CUGGGUGUAGGAAAACUCUGCCACUUAUCCGAAGCCUGAAACUAUUCUAAAAUGUAAAAGGCUUAUUUUAAAAGUUAGAAAAAAGCGGAAUAAGGGGAGGUGGAGGAGAGGACAACAUGGCAGUUACCCCAGACAGUACUGGAAGGUCAAGAAAAUGAAAAUAUCGGUAUACAUCAUCUAUUUCAAGAUAUGUGUAAACUAGCCAUAAAGAGCAAAUGUUUUUUAUCUACUGGCCAUUAGCAGUGAACAGAUUACUCCUCCAUGAGACUUAUUUUCCCAUGAUAAAAAAAGAUUGUCAUCAUUAUCACAUUUUUUUAGCUGGGCUUAAAGUUAAAAGGGUUGUACACACACAAAUGGCAAUGGGCUGAAUAAACAGUAUAGUUUUUAUUUUCAACGGAGCAUAUUCCACAUGGUAAAUUAUCUAGUGCCACGGUUCUGUCCUGUUUAACUCCACCACCCAUGAGUUACAUACAUUCUUUAUAUGGAUAAACAGAAAAAUUCAUUUCGUGCCUGCCAAAACGUUUUCUUCUCAGGUGUUAUUGUGUGUAUAGAGCGAUGUGUAAAGAAAACUCGCUUACAAUGUCAUCUGUGUCUCUUCGUUAAUACGCCUUUAUGCUAUCAUCCAUAAUCAUUAUAAUUGUCAUAUCGAUCUCCCUUUUAAUAAACGGAGUCUUCCUCAUCAUUUAUUGGUGUCGAUGCUAACCAGCCCUCGGGGGCUUGAAGGGGCCGAGCACAACCGCGAAGCAGUGUCUGGUCCAGUGUCGCCACAUCUGGGUCUGGCUGCCAGGAGCAGAGUACCCACAGGAUGAGGCAGGAUCCUUCCUUUGUGGCGCGCAGCUCCCUCGAAAACACCCCUUGCGACGACAAACUCCUCUUUUUUCAGUUAACAGUUCGGGGACAGAGGUCGGUGGGGAGGCCCCAAGCUGACGUAGACCGAGAUGAAGAUGAGGAAGACCGGGAGGAGGAAGACGCUGGCUGCCGCGGCGGCCCCAGCGAAGAGCUCCAUCCUCCAACCGCAGCGCAGCCUCCCGCAGCCGGGACUCGCUCGCUGCCAGGAGGCGCCGCGUUGCCAUGGGAACCGCGACGGCGCCCCCGCGGCACCCGCGUUUAUUACCGGAGAAUCGACCCGCGCGGACGCGGUCCCCACCCCCCGGCGGAGGGCCGCGCUUGCUCCUCGCCCCCGUCACGCGUGCGGGAAAAGCAGAGCCAGACCACGGCGCGAAGUGCAAACUGCAAAUGCCUCGUAAGCGUUGGCCGGAGGCUGAGAGCGCCGCUGCGAGUGGAGGAGACUCCCUGGGCUCAAAGUCGUUCUUUGUAUCCGCCGCCCAACAUGGAAACCAUAUGCCGCGCCUCGCCGCGUGUUAAAAUCACCCUCCGAGAGAUCCGAGCUGACGCCCCUUCGCCUUUCAUUUCGUCGACUGCAUCCAUGGCCGCCUCAUGCCCCCAAUUUCUCUCCCCGCCACCAGGGAACCCCGCGUCUAUGCCCCCUCCCCCCGACCUCACUCUAUUAAAACAAUAAUCUGAGGGGUUGACACGCAGGGGCGGCCCCUGGAGGGGGUGGGAUUCGCCCAUGUUUGACCCGAAGUCACCUGUGCUGCGCCCAGGGGAACAGCCCUAGCGGCCUCACCGCGGCCGCGGCGCUUGGGUCCGCAGGCCCGGCCUCCUGGGGGCCCUUCUGCUUCCCGGACCCUCUGUCUCCAGCACCCCGCCAGCCCACUCCUUCCCCGAGGGCUCCUCCCUGUGUCCCUAAGGAGCCGCGCGCGGUAGGGAAGGGGCGCCGGGCUGCUUGGACUCAGCGCGCUCUCCCCGGGGCCAAGGUUGGGGCGGGGGUCGUGGGCUGGGGCAUUUCGCCGCGCUUUGUCGCCACGCGCCACCAAAGCUGAGAGCCGGGGUUCCGGCGCGACGCCCGGGAUGCUCAGCCCCGCGCUGGCUGCGCCCAUUGCCCCGGCCUCCAGGCCGGGGGGCUUGCGGGGGGGCGCGCGCUGGGGGUUGCCAGUCAAGGCCCGGGGGGCGGUCUCCUCCGUCCCGCCCCGCGGGCUUCGACAGCGCAGACCCACACUCCAGCCCGCGCCUCCACCGGGUGUCCUGGGGCUUGCGGAGCCGAAAGGAGCCUCCUUCUCGCUCCACAGGCGUGGGAGCCAGCAGCGGGAGGAGGCUGUGCGGAGCCCAGGCGCCCCGGACGCGGGAAGGAGCCCGGCCGCUCCCCUCGCAGGAGAGCGGCGGAGGCCAGCAGUCCUAUCGGGAGCACUCAUGUCCCGUAGGCGCCUCCAGGAGGCCCAGCUUUGUGCGCUCAGACAUCUGAGGCUCCAUCACAGGCCAGGAGGAGCUGCCGAAUUGUUUCUUGCCCUCAUCUUUCUGUUCGGAGUUGAGCGCUAACAAACAGCUGCCCAAGGCAGAGAGGUGCGGUCGGCUCCCUACGGGAUGAUUAUGAGCGUUUGAAAAUAUUAAUGUCCAUUUACUCGAUACAUUCCCAUUUAAACUGCAUCAAGAGGAGAGAUCAAAAUGCAAAAUAAGGAUUU
rnacentral:lncRNA from 1 species